GCGGGUGUAGUUCAAUGGUAGAACACCACCCUUCCAAGGUGGAUGUGGCAGUUCGAUUCUGCUCACCCGCUCCA
rnacentral:tRNA from 1 species